rnacentral:rRNA from 1 species
UACGUAGGGGGCAAGCGUUGUCCGGAAUCACUGGGCGUAAAGGGCGUGUAGGCGGUCCGUUAAGUCUGAUGUGAAAGCCCGGGGCUCACCCCCGGAAGUGCAUUGGAAACUGGCGGACUCGAGUCCCGGAGAGGAGAGUGGAAUUCCUGGUGUAGCGGUGAAAUGCGUAGAUAUCAGGAGGAACACCGGUGGCGAAGGCGGCUCUCUGGACGGUGACUGACGCUGAGACGCGAAAGCGUGGGGAGCAAACAGG